CCUCCUACCGUUAGUUCUGAAGGCCUAAGAACCACGUGGUCUAGUUUAUCCUAGCAGUGACCCGGCCCUGGUACUGGUUUUCUGUAUUCGGUACUUCUCUCAUUGCCAUGACCAAAUGCCUGACAAGAAGCCGCCGAAGGGAAGAAGGGCUUGUUUGGGCUCACAGUUUAUGAAGGGACAUAGUUCAUCCAGGCAGGGAGGGCAUGGCGGCUAGAGUGUGAGGGAGCUGGUCACAGGGCAUCCACGGUCAGGAUGCAGUGGAGAUCGACGCUGACUUGGCUCACUCUCCCAUGUUUAUUCUGUCUGGGAUCCCAGCCCUCGGAACGAUGCUGCCGACAUCCACAUCCAGGAUGAGACUCCUCUGUUCAGCUAAACCUUUCUAGAAAUACCUCCAUAGGAGCAUCCAGAGCACAGUUAAACCUAAGAGAGCAAAGUCUACACAGCCAUUUCUGGAAAGAGCCGUGUCCUCACAACAGCGGCGACAGGAAGGAGAGCCUUCGGUGUUAUUUCUCUGGGCAGAUCAGGAUGCACUGUUCACUGCGACUGCUCCAGUGCCAGCCAGAACUCCGCCAUGCUCCCCACUGUGAUGAUAAUGAGCUAACUCUCUGGAACUGUAAGCCAG